AUUGAACGCUGGCGGCAGGCCUAACACAUGCAAGUCGAACGAGUGGCGGACGGGUGAGUAAUGUCUGGGAAACUGCCCGAUGGAGGGGGAUAACUACUGGAAACGGUAGCUAAUACCGCGUACCAUCGGAUGUGCCCAGAUGGGAUUAGCUGGUAGGUGAGGGAACGGCUCACCUAGGCGACGAACCCUAGCUGGUCUGAGAGGAUGACCAGCCACACGGAAACUGAGACACGGUCCAGACUCCUACGGGAGGGUGAAGUGGGGAAUGUUGAAAAAUGGGGUCAAGCCUGAUGCACACAUGCCGGGUGUAUGAAGAAGGCCUUCGGGUUUUAAAGUACUUGCAGCGGGUAGGCGUUACCCGCAGAAGAAGCACCGGCUAACUCCGUGCCAGCAGCCGCGGUAAUAC
rnacentral:rRNA from 1 species